rnacentral:rRNA from 1 species
CCUACGGGAGGCAGCAGUAAGGAAUAUUGGACAAUGCCCGCAAGGGUGAUCCAGCCAUACCGCGUGCAGGAAGACGGCCCUAUGGGUUGUAAACUGCUUUUAUACAAGAGAAAACCUCCCUACGUGUAGGGAGCUGAUAGUAUUGUAGGAAUAAGCAUCGGCUAACUUCGUGCCAGCAGCCGCGGUAAGACGAAGGAUGCAAGCGUUAUCCGGAUUCAUUGGGUUUAAAGGAGCGUAGGCGGUCUUAUAAGUCAGUGGUGAAAGCUCCUCGCUUAACGAGGAAAUUGCCAUUGAUACUGUAGGACUUGAGUACAGUUGCUGUGGGCGAAUAUGACAUGUAGUGGUGAAAUACAUAGAUAUGUCAUAGAACACCGAUUGCGAAGGCAGCUCACAAAACUGUAAACUGACGCUGAGGCUCGAAAGUGCGGGGAUCAAACAGGAUUAGAUACCCUGGUAGUCCGCACUGUAAACGAUGAUUACUCGCUGNGUGGUAGUACGUUACUAGUGUCGUAGACGAAGAGAGUAAGUAAGUACGACCGUACGGAGGUACGACCGGACGACGUACGAACGUACGAAGAGUAGUAGACGAGAGAGAGCGACGGACGGACGACGAGGAGGGAGGNG